UACGUAGGUGGCAAGCGUUGUCCGGAUUUAUUGGGCGUAAAGCGCGCGCAGGCGGUUUCUUAAGUCUGAUGUGAAAGCCCUCGGCUUAACCGAGGAGGGUCAUUGGAAACUGGGAGACUUGAGUGCAGAAGAGGAAAGUGGAAUUCCAAGUGUAGCGGUGAAAUGCGUAGAGAUUUGGAGGAACACCAGUGGCGAAGGCGAUUUUCUGGUCUGUAACUGACGCUGAGGCGCGAAAAGCGUGGGGAGCAAACAGGG
rnacentral:rRNA from 1 species